rnacentral:tRNA from 1 species
GCCUGGGUGGCUCAGUCGGUUAAGUGUCUGACUUCGGCUCAGGUCAUGAUCUCACUGUUCGUGGGUUCAAGCCCCGCAUCGGGCU